CCUCGGGGGGCUGCAGUGGGGAAUAUUGGACAAUGGGCGAGAGCCUGAUCCAGCCAUGCCGCGUGUGUGAAGAAGGCCUUCGGGUUGUAAAGCACUUUCAGUGGGGAAGAAAGCCUUGGGGCUAAUACCCUCGAGGAAGGACAUCACCCACAGAAGAAGCACCGGCUAACUCCGUGCCAGCAGCCGCGGUAAUACGGAGGGUGCGAGCGUUAAUCGGAAUUACUGGGCGUAAAGCGCGCGUAGGCGGUCUGAUAAGCCGGUUGUGAAAGCCCCGGGCUCAACCUGGGAACGGCAUCCGGAACUGUCAGGCUAGAGUGCAGGAGAGGAAGGUAGAAUUCCCGGUGUAGCGGUGAAAUGCGUAGAGAUCGGGAGGAAUACCAGUGGCGAAGGCGGCCUUCUGGACUGACACUGACGCUGAGGUGCGAAAGCGUGGGUAGCAAACAGGAUUAGAUACCCGAGUAGUC
rnacentral:rRNA from 1 species